rnacentral:rRNA from 1 species
AUUAGACGAAUCAUCUGGAAAGAUGAAUCAAAGAAGGUAAUAAUCCUGUAGUCGAAAAUGUUGUCUCUCUUGAGUGGAUCCUGAGUACGACGGAGCACGUGAAAUUCCGUCGGAAUCUGGGAGGACCAUCUCCUAAGGCUAAAUACUCUCUAGUGACCGAUAGUGAACCAGUACCGUGAGGGAAAGGUGAAAAGCACCCCGGAAGGGGAGUGAAAUAGAACCUGAAACCGUGUGCUUACAAGUAGUCAGAGCCCGUUAAUGGGUGAUGGCGUGCCUUUUGUAGAAUGAACCGGCGAGUUACGAUUUGAUGCAAGGUUAAGCAGUAAAUGUGGAGCCGUAGCGAAAGCGAGUCUGAAUAGGGCGUUUAGUAUUUGGUCGUAGACCCGAAACCAGGUGAUCUACCCUUGGUCAGGUUGAAGUUCAGGUAACACUGAAUGGAGGACCGAACCGACUUACGUUGAAAAGUGAGCGGAUGAACUGAGGGUAGCGGAGAAAUUCCAAUCGAACCUGGAGAUAGCUGGUUCUCUCCGAAAUAGCUUUAGGGCUAGCCUC